rnacentral:rRNA from 1 species
UACGUAGGGUGCGAGCGUUAAUCGGAAUUACUGGGCGUAAAGCGUGCGCAGGCGGUUCGCCAAGUCAGGUGUGAAAUCCCCGGGCUCAACCUGGGAACUGCAUCUGUGACUGCAUAGCUAGAGUACGGUAGAGGGGGAUGGAAUUCCGCGUGUAGCAGUGAAAUGCGUAGAUAUGCGGAGGAACACCGAUGGCGAAGGCAAUCCCCUGGACCUGUACUGACGCUCAUGCACGAAAGCGUGGGGAGCAAACAGG